CUCGCGCCUGAUUAGCUUGUUGGUGGGGUAAAAGCCUACCAAGGCGACGAUCAGUAUCUGGUUUGAGAGGACGAUCAGACACACUGGAACUGAGACACGGUCCAGACUCCUACGGGAGGCAGCAGUGGGGAAUAUUGCACAAUGGGCGCAAGCCUGAUGCAGCCAUGCCGCGUGAAUGAUGAAGGCCUUAGGGUUGUAAAAUUCUUUCGCCAGGGAUGAU
rnacentral:rRNA from 14 species